AACGUAGGUACCGAGCGUUAUCCGGAUUUACUGGGCGUAAAGCGCGUUCAGGCGGUUUGGCAAGUCGGGCAUGAAAUCUCUCGGCUCAACCGGGAGAGGUUGUCCGAUACUUCCAGACUUGAGGGCAGUAGAGGGUGGUGGAAUUCCGGGUGUAGUGGUGAAAUGCGUAGAUAUCCGGAGGAACACCAGUGGCGAAGGCGGCCACCUGGACUGCACCUGACGCUGACACGCGAAAGCUAGGGGAGCAAACGGG
rnacentral:rRNA from 1 species